GGAGGAUAAUAAGUAAGACUGAGAAAACUACUACUUCUUGGAAAGAAGUGAUUGGAUUCAAGCUCAGAGUGUUUCAAUUAUGUCUGUUUUCCUUAAUUCUUAAGUGGGCAAUAUAUACAUGGUUAUUUGUUAUAUUAUUUUGGUACUUUGUGCAUCACAUUAUUUUAUAAUAAAAAUGGACACAUUUCUAUUUUCUAAAUGUAAAAUUAUAUUAUGAGAUUCAAAGUGUUUUUUCAAAUUGUAUGUAUUCUUAUCCCUAGACUCUUCUGAUAUGUCCCCAGUGAGAAGGAAAAUCUGCUUUGUCAAUCCACACUUACUAUUGACUUAAUUAUCCAACAACAUUUUAAGUGCCUACUAUGGGCUUAAACAAGUGCUGAAUUAUAUUGUUGACCACUGUGUUCACUCCCACCUCUAGGAGAGCCCAAACUUGUUGGGAAAUAGUAAAGGCUAGGAGAGGCAGCAUUUUAAUUAGCUUCUGGCUAGAUUUUACAAACCUCAACAAAUUUAUGCUCUGCUCAGGGCUGCUGCUGAAUGCAAUGGCACUGGCUUACUCAAAAUAAUAAUAAUGGCCAGGCACGGUGUCUCACGCCUGUAAUCCCAGCACUUUGGGAUGCUGAGGCAGGUGGAUCACCUGAGGUCAGGAGUUCAAGACCAGUCUGACCAAUAUGGUGAAACCCCACCUCUAUUAAAAAUACAAAAAUUAGCUGGGCAUGGUGGCAUGCACUUUUAGUCCCAGUUACUCUGGAGGCUGAGACAGGAGAACUGCUUGCACCCAGGAGGCAGAGGUUGCAGUGAGCUGAGGUCGCACAACUGCACUCCAGCCCAGGCAACAGAGAUUCCGUCUCAAAAAAAAAAAAAAAAAUCCAAAAUAAUAAUAAUAAGGAAAACCUCUGGUCAGCAGCCCCCAGAACUCUCAAGCAUGGAGGCUUGAGAUAAUCAUUUUUUAUGUCCAAACUGCUUUCCAAGCUGUCAUGCAAGGUGAAACUAAGGAAGCAAUGUAUAGCCUGACUCCAAUUACUCUUCACUUCAUUUGCUUGUGAGUUUUCUCAGUAAAAGAUCAUUAGUUAAGGUUUGACUUCCAUUGCCAAGGUAACAAGAACCAUUUUCUAGAUGGUUUGGCAUCCACUGAGACUCUGAAUUCCAUUUCCUCAGACCACUACAAUAGCCUUGGCCCUCUCACUCUUGUGGUUAACUAAUGUCUAUCAUCCCACAUUUCUGCAAGUAUUCUCUGCUCAAGAAUUCACCGUUGCUUUUUUUUUCUCUUGAACUUAUUAAUUUAAUUCCACUAAUCAGUCUCUCCUAAUCAAAACCUCAAUACAUUUCCCCACCCUGCCCUACUCCACCUUAGCCACACAUUCCAUUACCACAUCCUGAAUUCUUGUCUUCAAAUUAGUCACCCCUUCAUUAGCUUAGCUCAUUUUAUUUCCUCCUCUCAGGUACUACCUUGUUCAACCACACUUAGCAAGAGCUCCAAUUCAUAAUCUACACCACCACUCUUUCACUGUUGCUCAUCCUCUUGUUCUUCCUUC
rnacentral:lncRNA from 1 species